rnacentral:rRNA from 1 species
UACGUAGGGCGCAAGCGUUGUCCGGAAUUAUUGGGCGUAAAGAGCUCGUAGGCGGUCUGUUACGUCCGCUGUGAAAACCCAGGGCUUAACCCUGGGCUUGCAGUGGAUACGGGUAGACUAGAGGCAGGUAGGGGAGAAUGGAAUUCCCGGUGUAGCGGUGAAAUGCGCAGAUAUCGGGAGGAACACCGGUGGCGAAGGCGGCGAUCUGGGUCGAUACUGACGCUGAGGUGCGAAAGCGUGGGGAGCAAACAGG